rnacentral:rRNA from 1 species
CCUACGGGUGGCAGCAGUGAGGAAUAUUGGUCAAUGGGCGUAAGCCUGAACCAGCCAAGUCGCGUGAGGGAUGAAGGUUCUAUGGAUCGUAAACCUCUUUUGUAAGGGAAUAAAAUGCGGGACGUGUCCCGUUCUGUAUGUACCUUAUGAAUAAGCAUCGGCUAACUCCGUGCCAGCAGCCGCGGUAAUACGGAGGAUCCGAGCGUUAUCCGGAUUUAUUGGGUUUAAAGGGUGCGUAGGCGGCCUUUUAAGUCAGCGGUGAAAGGCUGUGGCUCAACCCAAGAAGUGCCGUUGAAACUGGGAGUCUUGAGAAGGUGUGAGGUAGGCGGAAUGCGUGGUGUAGCGGUGAAAUGCUUAGAUAUCGCGCAGAACCCCGAUUGCGAAGGCAGCAUGCCAGGCCAUGACUGACGCUGAUGCACGAAAGCGUGGGGAUCAAACAGGAUUAGAUACCCGGGUAGUC